GAUAAGAUUUCCCACCGUAAGGGUAAGACCCCAGGAAGACUACCUGGUUGAUAGGUCGGAGGUGGAAGUGCAGUAAUGUAUGUAGCUUACCGAUACUAAUAGGUCGAGGACUUGACCAAUUUU
rnacentral:rRNA from 1 species